UACGGAGGGUGCAAGCGUUAUCUGGAUUCACUGGGUUUAAAGGGUGCGUAGGCGGGUAUAUAAGUCAGUGGUGAAAGCUCCGGGCUUAACUUGGAACUGCCAUUGAUACUGUAUAUCUUGAAUGUCGUUGAGGUUAGCGGAAUGUUGCAUGUAGCGGUGAAAUGCUUAGAUAUGUUACAGAACACCAAUUUGUGAAGACAGCUAACUAAGCGAUGAUUGACGCUGAGGCACGAAAGCGUGGGGAGCAAACAGG
rnacentral:rRNA from 1 species